rnacentral:rRNA from 1 species
AGUGAACGCUGGCGGUAGGCCUAACACAUGCAAGUCGAGCGGCAGCACAGUAAGAGCUUGCUCUUACGGGUGGCGAGUGGCGGACGGGUGAGGAAUACAUCGGAAUCUACUUUUUCGUGGGGGAUAACGUAGGGAAACUUACGCUAAUACCGCAUACGACCUACGGGUGAAAGCAGGGGAUCUUCGGACCUUGCGCGAUUGAAUGAGCCGAUGUCGGAUUAGCUAGUUGGCGGGGUAAAGGCCCACCAAGGCGACGAUCCGUAGCUGGUCUGAGAGGAUGAUCAGCCACACUGGAACUGAGACACGGUCCAGACUCCUACGGGAGGCAGCAGUGGGGAAUAUUGGACAAUGGGCGCAAGCCUGAUCCAGCCAUACCGCGUGGGUAAAGAAGGCCUUCGGGUUGUAAAGCCCUUUUGUUGGGAAAGAAAAGCAGCAGGUUAAUACCCCGCUGUUCUGACGGUACCCAAAGAAUAAGCACCGGCUAACUUCGUG